UACGUAGGGUGCGAGCGUUGUUCGGAAUUACUGGGCGUAAAGGGCGCGUAGGCGGCCCGUCAAGUCCCGUGUGAAAGCCCCCGGCUCAACCGGGGAGCGGCGCGGGAAACUAGCAGGCUUGAGUUCGGGAGAGGGAAGCGGAAUUCCGGGUGUAGCGGUGAAAUGCGCAGAUAUCCGGAGGAACACCGGUGGCGAAGGCGGCUUCCUGGACCGGUAUUGACGCUGAGGCGCGAAAGCCAGGGGAGCAAACGGG
rnacentral:rRNA from 1 species